UAUCUUUGCUUUUCAACUAAGAUGAAACAGCAUUUAAAAGAAAAUGCCAUGUGAGAUGAGAUCAGGAGAAUGGAUUCUUUCUUUCAUCUGAAUAGAGAGCUGCUGUUCGAGAUUCUAACUCAAAUAGCUCAAAGGACACCUUCUCCGGGAAACCUUCCCUGACUUCCGACGCUGUUUCCUGUUGGCUACAGUUUUGCUUGACCAGAUGUUGCCAAGUUUCAAAGUCAAAUCGGUUCAUCUCCUGGCUAUCAGCUAAAGGGUGUUGUAUUUGUAAGCAUUGAGAACUUCUAUCUACUGCUAUUGUAUUUUGCAUAUUUGUAUUUUCUGAGUUCUAUUUGAGAGAGACGGAAUUACGCAUUUCCAUAUGGAUCAUCCUCUUCCCUAUGUAUGUUGCUUUAUUGCCUUUUGGAAGAAAAAAAGUGAGAGUUGCAGUCUGUAUUUAGGCCAUUUCUAUGUUCUUUAUUGGGUUACGUUUGAAUGCCCAAUUUGAUCUCAAUGGCACGUCCUUUGUAACAUAAAAUAAAACAUGGUGCUCAGGAAAAGUAACGACACACACAUCCAGGCCCUUUCAUAGCAGUUGGUAAAGCUUAAGCCUUGCCUCUCUGUGUGGUAGUUUCCCUUCCCUUUCUUUUCGUUCCCUGUGACAAGCAGCCAUUGUCCCCUUGGUGAGAUCUGCAAUAUUACUUUGACCCCAGCCCAUCAAUCUGCCUCAAUUGGAUAAUGAUCUGUAAUCACGUUCUUUCAGGGGAGUCUAUAAAUUUGCCAAGGCCCCAUUCUCUUCUGAAGGACUCCUUAUGUUCACUCCCAUUUGUGCAAAUGUGCUCUCUUUUACAGGGCUAAAUAGCCAUGCACAUGGUCCAUUCUGUGAGGAGGCACCGGGCGGUUCUCUGUUGAUUUUCCACGCUCUAGUCUCUUAAAGGAGACUAAGGCUGACAUGCAGGGACACAGUGGGGGGGUGGCCCGAGCCAGGCCACAUCACAGGCAGCCGCUUUUCUCAUUAAGACUGACCCAUCAUUAGGUCACUUUGUGCCAUCCUUGUAAUCAAUGAGCUUAAUGUUUAGUGCAAAAAAAAAAAAA
rnacentral:lncRNA from 1 species